AAACAGUUGAGAACAGACUCCACCUCGUGGGACUGUGGCAUAUCUGAAAGUUCAAGACAAUUCCCCAAGCAACUUUACCUUACAAUCUCAUUGAAAAGGCUGCAUCUGUGGGGGCCCUGGGACAGACUCAGCAGCAGACAGGGUCUCCAGAGCACAUGACACCAGGAAGAAUGCAUGGAGGUCCACCGGCAGUCGAAUCAGCCGAAGCACAAGACAAACACAAUGUCUCGCUCUGUUGCCCAGGCUGGGGUGCAGUGGUGCGACCUCGGCUCACUGCAAUCUUGGCCCAUCCUUGAAGAAUCUGGGGGUAAUAAAUACCCUGAACAUCGAUGAACCCAAAGGGAAGCCAGAAGGUCAGAUGUCGGUAGUCGGGAAGAAAGGCUGGAUAGGAAAUAGGAAAAGGCAGGGCAAACACGGAGCUUCAAGGACUGAAACCCUUAAGAACAACUUGACUCUGUCUCUCACCACCUCCAGCCUCGAUGACACAGUGACAUAUAGAAGAACUGAUGCCCUUUGCUUUGAGCUGCACAAAAACCUGGCCCUGGACUUAGAGAAGCUGAAAGACAGGACCUGGCAGGAGCCUGAGGAGCUGCAGGCUGCUAACCUGUAGACCACCGUGCUGUGUUAGCCGCUGCAGCUGGGACCAUUCUGACACUCAGAGCCUGGAAAUGGCUGCUCCCUCCUGCCUGCUAUCCAAGUAUCCUGUGGAUACUUGGCUUUUCUCUUGUGGGCAACACUAACCUGAAACUCUUUGGGGAAGGGAAUUGAGGAAAUGUAGUUCUAAGAUUAGCCAAUUUAACUCAGCAUAAACCCAUCACAGGGUUUGACUACAGAGUUAUAACUUUAUUCUGUAGGCAAUGAAAACAGAAGUUUUUGAAAAAGGCAUCAAUUUGAUGAAAUUGAUAUUUUGGGGAAGAUUAAUCUUCUGCUGAGUAAAAUAUAACAGGUUGGAGGAAGAUGAAAAUGGAGAGAGUAGAGUGUAAUUAAAAGUUUGUUGGAGGCCGGGCGCGGUGGCUCACGCCUGUAAUCCCAGCACUUUGGGAGGCCGAGGUGGGCGGAUCACCUGAGGUCAGGAGCUUGAGAUCAUCCCGGCCAACAUAGUGAAACCCUGUCUCUAAUAAAAAUACGAAAAAUUAGCUGGGCAUGGUGGUGCACGCCUGUAAUCUCAGCUACUCAGGAGGCUGAGGCAGGAGAAUCCCUUGAACCCAGGAGGCAGAGGUUGCAGUGAGCCAAGAUGGCAUGAUUGCACUCCAGCCCAGGGGACAAUGUGAGACUCCGUCGCAAAAAAAAAAAAAAAAAAAAAAGUUUGUUGUAGUAGUCCAGGUGUCCGGGUGUUGUUACCAGGGCACCCAUGAUGAAAUAACUGGGAGAGUCCUUUUUUCUGACAGGUUUUCUUCAGUCCCUUUAUCUACGGGCACAACUGCUGAAGAAACCAGAUGGCCUGGGAUGGCACCAGAGCUUUUUUACCCUUGACCAGAUACUAGAGGGAAGUAAGACCCCACAAGUGGUCACGAACUGGAACUGGCGACCCCUAGUUGCCUUCAGAUCAUUAACACGUCAUUAUAAUGCUAAAAUUCCCUGCCAUUUUGUGAACAUGGGUUGCAUGAAGACGUAAGUUUAUGAAUUGCCUCUGUACACCUAAAGUCCCACCCUGUACGGGCUAACAUUCCUCCCUACAUGUACCCGCCAACACACACAUCCUGCCUCCCCCAGUCCUUAGAAACCGCAUGCCUGGCCGGGCGCCGUGGCUCACGCCUGUAAUCCCAGCACUUUGGGAGGCUGAGGCGGGCGGAUCACGAGGUCAGGAGAUCGAGACCAUCCUGGCUAACACGGUGAAACCCUGUCUUUACUAAAAAUCC
rnacentral:lncRNA from 1 species